UAGAGAUGCCUCUGAGACGAAGAGGUUGAUAGGUCCGGUGUGGAAGCGUGGCGACACGUGCAGCAGACGGAUACUAAUCCAUCGAGAUCUUCUCU
rnacentral:rRNA from 1 species